rnacentral:rRNA from 1 species
AGACCUACGGGGGGCAGCAGUAGGGAAUCUUCCACAAUGGACGAAAGUCUGAUGGAGCAACGCCGCGUGAGUGAAGAAGGGUUUCGGCUCGUAAAGCUCUGUUGGUAGUGAAGAAAAAUAGAGGUAGUAACUGGCCUUUAUUUGACGGUAAUUACUUAGAAAGUCACGGCUAACUACGUGCCAGCAGCCGCGGUAAUACGUGGGUGGCAAGCGUUGUCCGGAUUUAUUGGGCGUAAAGCGAGUGCAGGCGGUUCCAUAAGUCUGUUUUGGAAGCCUUUGUCUCAACCCGAGUAUUGAAUCCUAAA